rnacentral:rRNA from 1 species
AGAGUUUGAUCCUGGCUCAGGACGAACGCUGGCGGCGUGCUUAACACAUGCAAGUCGAGCGACAGUGUUCUUCGGAACAUAUGGAGCGGCGAACGGGUGAGUAACACGUGGGCAACCUGCCCUCAGCUCUGGGAUAACUCCGGGAAACCGGGGCUAAUACCGGAUACGACCUUUCUCCGCAUGGGGGAGGGUGGAAAGUUCUUCGGCUGAGGAUGGGCCCGCGGCCUAUCAGCUUGUUGGUGGGGUCACGGCCCACCAAGGCGACGACGGGUAGCCGGCCUGAGAGGGCGACCGGCCACACUGGGACUGAGACACGGCCCAGACUCCUACGGGAGGCAGCAGUGGGGAAUAUUGCGCAAUGGGCGGAAGCCUGACGCAGCGACGCCGCGUGAGGGAUGAAGGCCUUCGGGUUGUAAACCUCUUUCAGCAGGGACGAAGCGAGAGUGACGGUACCUGCAGAAGAAGCACCGGCCAACUACGUGCCAGCAGCCGCGGUAAUACGUAGGGUGCAAGCGUUGUCCGGAAUUAUUGGGCGUAAAGAGCUCGUAGGCGGUCUGUCGCGUCGGCUGUGAAAACUCGGGGCUCAACCCCGAGCCUGCAGUCGAUACGGGCAGACUAGAGUGCUGUAGGGGAGACUGGAAUUCCUGGUGUAGCGGUGAAAUGCGCAGAUAUCAGGAGGAACACCGGUGGCGAAGGCGGGUCUCUGGGCAGUAACUGACGCUGAGGAGCGAAAGCGUGGGGAGCGAACAGGAUUAGAUACCCUAGUAGUCC